rnacentral:rRNA from 1 species
AUUGAACGCUGGCGGAAUGCUUUACACAUGCAAGUCGAACGGCAGCACGGACUUCGGUCUGGAGGCGAGUGGCGAACGGGUGAGUAAUGUAUCGGAACGUGCCCAGUCGUGGGGGAUAACGUAGUGAAAAUUACGCUAAUACCGCAUACGAUCUAUGGAUGAAAGCGGGGGAUCGCAAGACCUAGCGCGAUUGGAGCGGCCGAUAUCAGAUUAGGUAGUUGGUGGGGUAAAGGCCCACCAAGCCAACGAUCUGUAGCUGGUCUGAGAGGACGACCAGCCACACUGGAACUGAGACACGGGCCAGACUCCUACGGGAGGCAGCAGUGGGGAAUUUUGGACAAUGGGCGAAAGCCUGAUCCAGCCAUUCCGCGUGCAGGAUGAAGGCCCUCGGGUUGUAAACUGCUUUUGUACAGAACGAAAAGGUUUCUACUAAUACUAGGAGCUCAUGACGGUACUGUAAGAAUAAGCACCGGCUAACUACGUGCCAGCCGCCGCAGUAA